UACGUAGGUGGCAAGCGUUGUCCGGAUUUAUUGGGUUUAAAGGGUGCGUAGGCGGCCCUGUAAGUCAGUGCUGAAAUAUCCCAGCUUAACUGGGAGGGUGGCAUUGAUACUGCGGGGCUAGAGUACAGAUGAGGUAGGCGGAAUUGACGGUGUAGCGGUGAAAUGCUUAGAUAUCGUCAAGAACACCUAUAGCGAAGGCAGCACUCUGGGACGUGACUGACGCUGAGACGCGAAAGCGUGGGGAGCAAACAGG
rnacentral:rRNA from 1 species